UCUUCCGUAGUAUAGUGGUCAGUAUGUAAGCUUGUCAUCUCCGCUUGGAGAUAAUCAUCGCUCGAGACCCGGGUUCAAUUCCCGGCGGGAGAG